AAAUUAAAAACAACGCCGAAAUCCGGCAGUUAUAAAGUGCACCAUCACUCAGCUUAUAUACAAAUGCAUCAAUAAUGCUCACUUAAAAUGCAGUCAGAAAGAGACUCUGUUGAGUCACUCUGGGAAACACACUGCCUCAUUCCAGCCUUCACCAAACCGCGUCAGUGUGCGAAAUAAUAUAAAUCCAUGCAGCUUGAGUGUGAACCGCGCUUAAGUCCCGUACGCAAGAAACAAUUCCGAAAUGUACACACACGCCUUGUCUUGAAAAACUUAACAGUCUUUUUUCGUCUUGCUCGCCAAUAGCAUCUGGCCGUUCCUCUGCCGAAACUUUGCGGUCUCUUCAGGAUGAGUUUGCUUCACGUAAUGUUGCCCAAGUUGUUGCUCUGUCUGAUCGUUGUCUUGACUGUGCAAAUGUAUGGCAUGGCCAAACCCUUAGCGGACUCUAUUGGCGCUACUGUAGUGAAAGUUGGUACCACCACCACCACUACCACCACUGAAAUGGUCUGCCUUUAUGGCUUUGAGAGGGUAAAUGGCACGUGCAAAGAGAUAUUUUGAUUAAAGAAAUUCGACCCAAAGGAUGUCCUGGCCGAGCGAGGAUCUUCCGAGCUGUACAUAUUAAUUAAAUUAUUAUUUAUUGUAGUCUAAGAGCUUAUGAAUCAGUCGCUGUUCACAUGCCACUAAGUGAAUUAUGUUACUUAAGAUAGUUUUAUACAAGGUGUUUGUAAAUAAGGUAAUGCAAAAUAAAACGACCGAUUUUUUUA